rnacentral:tRNA from 2 species
GGGGGCUUAGCUCAGUUGGUUAGAGCACCUGCCUUACAAGCAGGGGGUCACAGGUUCGAGUCCUGUAGCCCCCACCA